GCAUGUGCAGUCAUUUUGUUUCCCAAACUUCUCAAGUUGAGAAGCGUCAUUAGAACGUGUCCACCUGUUCUAAAUUUCUUAAUUAACUGGUUAUUGAUUGCAUAUAUAAUAUGUAAACGGAGUCCUUAAAUAAUUGUGAAUAACCAUUGUCUGCAGUAUGGUAAGGAAUCCCUCAAAGGAGGAAUCUCCAUUGGCAUGUGAGCAAAUGUCUGUGGCAAAUUCUUCACAAAAGACUAUGUUAUUAAAAUGUGUUUGUCAGUGCUUAGUAAAUUCUACCAUCCUCUCCAUCACCCUCACAUUCUACAGCAAAGUAUUUGUAAAGGUUUUCAGACUGGUGAGGAAAAUUGAAAAUCGCUGCCCCCUUAGAGUUAUGUCAAAAACAAAGAGCAGUGAUUGAAUUUCUUGUUGCUGUGAACAUUUACUGAUGAUUACAAAAUGGUUUUGAGGACAAUACUUUAGAUUAUAGCAAUGUAUGCAGGCGGGUCCGUUGUCUGAAAGAUGGAAAUUCUUGUUGCUGAGGGGGAGACCCCUAUGAACAUUUACUGACGAUUACAAAAUGGUUUUGAGGACAAUACUUUAGAUUAUAGCAAUGUAUGCAGGCGGGUCCAUCGUCUGAAAGAUGGAAAUUCUUGUUGCUGAGGGGGAGACCCCUAUGAACAUUUACUGAUGAUUACAAAAUGGUUUUGAGGACAAUACUUUAGAUUAUAGCAAUGUAUGCAGGCGGGUCCAUCGUCUGAAAGAUGGAAAUUCUUGUUGCUGAGGGGGAGACCCCUAUGAACAUUUACUGACGAUUACAAAAUGGUUUUGAGGACAAUACUUUAGAUUAUAGCAAUGUAUGCAGGC